UAUUAAUUGAAUGAAUAGUUAUAAGAAAAUAAUCAUAAUAUUUUAUCACCUAAUAAUCUUAUUAUUUUAUGAUUUCUCUAACUCAACCGUUGGACCACACUGAGAAUCUGUUGACAUGGACUAUUAUUAGUUUUCUGAUGCAGUUGUAUGAAUGAUACGCUUAGUGAAAAGUCAUGCUCUUUUAUGGAGCAUUUGAUGGUAGGCAACAGAAUGAACAAUUUGUAGCAGUAUUAUAAGCAAGGAUUAAAAACAAGUUCACAAUGAAAAAAAAAGUGAUCUCCAGAAAGAAGACUGUAUAUAAAAAUCCAGAUAAAAUUAUCAGAUCUAGUUUUGGAUUUGGAAGUCAUAAAUCAAGAACAGAGGUGGACAGAAUCAAGACACUGUUUCAAGGUCACCUCUCAUAGGAAACACAUCGUCAAAUCAGGGAAAAGAUCCCUUUUUAUGGCUUCACAUCAUGUAACAUUGUUUUAUAUCCGAAUCUAUUUUGACUCUCCAUUAAUGUGGCUAUCUUGUUCCUGUACCAUGAACUGAAAAGAGAGCUUUGAAACAGUCAACAUUUAUUAGAAGGGUUUUAAAAGUAUGUUCUCAAAUUUAAAUUUCAUCAUCUUUCAUGAACCACUUAUUAUCUCUUUUAUUAUCUACCUCACCUAAAUUCUCUGGAAGUUACUUGAGAAAUUAAAAGGAAGUUAUUGAGCAUAUCAAUAAUUUUUUAGAACAAGCAUUAAAAUGCAGUGAAGUGCAGUAAUAGAUUUUUUAUGGGUGAUAUUAUUUAGCUUUCCUUUAUUGCUUCUAGUUAUUUUUUCAUGUACAAGGAAAAUGUUUAGAAAAGUACAAUAGAUGCCCAUUGUCCCCACAGUCCCAACCCCCAACCUCCAAAACAGAUCUAUCCCAAGGCCAGGGUAAGGGGAGUAAGAUGAAAAGGAAGCUAGCACUGAACUUUUAAUCACUUACUUGUACAUUACAUUUUAUCAACCACCCUGAGAGAUUUAAUUUUAUGUAGUUCAGAGGUUAGUGGUGAAAUACCUGGAGACAGAAAGACUGGAGUAUGAAACUUGUUUCUGAUAAUUUUUCCCUGUAAUCUUACACAAGUGAUUCCAAGCUUUAGUUUAUUUAUCUAUAAAUUGAAGAAAAUACUAGCAUUGACCUAACAGGGUUAUGGUGAGCACAAAAUAAGUUAAUGCAUGGAAAACUUAUAGAAUUAUAUGAGAAGGUACACCAAAAGCAUGUCAUACAUACUAGCUAUUAUUUUAAUAGUCCCUGGUAACACAGACAGUAAAUUAUUUGCCUGCAAUGCAGGAGACCCAAGUUUGAUCCCUGAGCUGGGAAGAUCCUCUGGAAAUGGGAAUGGUUACCCACCCCAGUAUUCUUGCUUGGAGAACCCCACAGACAGAGAAGCCAAGGGACUAUAGUCCGCGAGGUCAUAGAAAGUUGGAUACAACUGAGCAACGGAGAACAUAUGCAUGAUCAGCUCCAAAUAAAACUGAUUGUUAAUCUUUAAAUAAUGAAGAGAGGAAUAUCUGAAUGUUUCAGGGCAGUGGAUUUAUGUAUAUGAAUUUGACCACAGUUCUGACCCAAAGAUUUCAUAAUGCCAUUGCAUUCUCAGCAAUUAACCGUUCUCAUAUUCACACAUUCAUGCAUUAUUCAGGUCAUUUAUCUUCAUUAAAAGAAUAUAACACCUUCUAAUGAUCAAUAAUUGAAUGGCUCACAAAAGUAAAUUUUAAUUUAUUAAAAGUCCUCAGGAUUAUGCAACAGAUGUUUAAUCUAUUCCUGCAAAAGUUAUCUUCAUGGAUAAAUAAAAAAGUACAUAUCAGGAUUUGAGGUUUGCCUGUAUUUCAUGUUAUUAUGUAAUGAAUAGCACAAUGGGAUUUUGGUGGCCCCAGAUAAACAGUUUAUUGAAAUCUGUUGUAAUUCAAUCUAAGUCUCCAUUGGACUCAUUAUCUGCUUCCAGGUUUGGAAAAAAUAAUAAAAUAACAGUUUUCUCAAAAUAGACAUUCUAGUGCUUCUCCCAACCCUCUGCAUAUAACCUGUGCCUUGAGUUUUACAUUCCAAGUGGAAUGAAGUCAUAUAUCAUUACUUUUGUCUACUGCCUUCCUAUUUUUCCUUUCUUUCACAAAAGCUAUUCUAGUUUAUAAUACUUCUCUCAGUUCCUGCUCUAAGAUGGGAAGUGUAUGAAUUGCUAGGGAAAAAUACAAUGAUAAUUUAGUGCUUAUUGCAGGAAUGACAACCCAGGAAAGAAAUACUUCUAAAAUUGCAUUCAAAUAAUCUCAGAUGAAGACCAUUUUCAUGCUUAAUAAGUAGGUCUAUUCACUAUAUUUUGUUCUGUUUGCUUCAUAUAUUUCCCAGUGUGGCAGACUUGUAACAACUUUUGGCUCCCAAGUAUGCUGUUGUUUGAUUUUAAUAAGGCAUAAGCUUGCAGUGAACUGAAUAGGCAAUUUAAAGUGCUGAUCUGCCUUACAGAUCCCAUAAACUUUCAUUUCUAUGUCACAGGAACGAAUGAGAAUGAAAUCCAGUGUCAUGGUCAGACCUGUGUUUAAGGGGUAAUUUGCUGGAAUGGCUCACUUACAUCUGCUCUCUGACAGAUGAAGGUAGGGGCCAGACCAGAGUACCUGCUGUUGGCAAGUUUCUGUGUUCAUCUGUUUUUCUUCACAAAAGCGCUGGGCUGACAAAUGAAUGCAUAUCAACUUCCUUUCCUCUUAAUCAGGACAGACUGAUGGGCAAAGACCCAUAUGGUUCAAAUAAGACUCUCAUCUUCAGGUAGCCAUUCCCCCAUUACAUGCUUUCUUUCUGCUUCAUCUUCACUUUUAUAGAGUUUCCCUGGUGGCUCAGAUGGUAAAGCGUCUGCCUGCAAUGCAGGAGACCCAGUUUCAAUCCCUGGGUUGGGAAGCUCUCCUGGAAAAGGAAAUGGCAGCCCACUCCAGUAUACUUGCCUGGAGAAUCCCACAGACGGAGGAGCCUGAUAGGCUACAGUCCAUGGGGUCACAAAGAGUUGGACAGGACUGAGCAACUUCACUUUCAUAGCUCACUUCUGGACAGUCACCUCUGAGUCUUUCUCAUUCAAUGAAUUUAGUUAAAUAUGUUUUAAUGUCUCAGGGUGAAAAAUACAUAUUUAUUUUUAUGUAUGAAAACUAAUGCAAAGAAAUGUUUAUUUUUUUCACUCUGCAUUAAAUAUGCAUUUCAGUUGAUGAAAUUUAGAGCAAUUUUUGCAGGAUAAAUAACAUGGUCUGGAAAUUUUUUUUCAAUGUUCU
ensembl:lncRNA